AGGCAUGCAAGUCAACGGGAGCAGCAAUGCUCCAGUGGACGCAAGGGUGAGGAACACGUGAACAACCUGCCUUCGAUUGGGGAUAGCUCUGGAAACGGAGAUAAUACCGAAUAACAUCACCGGAUCGCAUGAUUUGGUGAUCAAAGCAGCAAUGCGCUUGAAGAGGGGUUCGCGUCCCAUUAGCUAGUUGGUGAGGUAACGGCCCACCAAGGCGAUGAUGGGUAGCUGGUCUGAGAGGACGAUCAGCCACAUUGGGACUGAGAUACUGCCCAGACUCCUACGGGAGGCUGCAGUCGAGAAUUUUGGGCAAUGGACGAAAGUCUGACCCAGCAAUGCCGCGUGCGGGAUGAAGGUCUUCGGAUUGUAAACCGCUGUCAAGAGGGACGAAACAUGACGGUACCUCUGGAGGAAGCCACGGCUAACUACGUGCCAGCCGCCGC
rnacentral:rRNA from 1 species